ACGGCCGCGGGGCCCAGGUUGGCAACCGGGCUGGUAGAAUACCGGCGGGAAAGACCGGAGAUGCAGGUUCGAGUCCUGCCGAUCGCAC
rnacentral:tRNA from 1 species